AACGAACGCUGGCGGCAUGCCUAACACAUGCAAGUCGAACGAGACCUUCGGGUCUAGUGGCGCACGGGUGCGUAACGCGUGGGAAUCUGCCCUAGGGUGCGGAAUAACUCAGAGAAAUUUGAGCUAAUACCGCAUAAUGACUUCGGUCCAAAGAUUUAUCGCCCUGGGAUGAGCCCGCGUCGGAUUAGCUAGUUGGUAGGGUAAAAGCCUACCAAGGCGACGAUCCGUAGCUGGUCUGAGAGGAUGAUCAGCCACACUGGGACUGAGACACGGCCCAGACUCCUACGGGAGGCAGCAGUGGGGAAUAUUGGACAAUGGGGGAAACCCUGAUCCAGCAAUGCCGCGUGAGUGAUGAAGGCCUUAGGGUUGUAAAGCUCUUUUGCCAGGGAUGAUAAUGACAGUACCUGGAGAAUAAGCCCCGGCUAACUCCGUG
rnacentral:rRNA from 1 species